rnacentral:rRNA from 1 species
CCACCACCUAGAAUGUACCCGAUCCUGUCUAAUCUCAGAAGCUAAGCAGGGCUGGGCCUGGUCAGUACCUUGGGUGGGGGAAAUGAGAACUAAAUGCAGCAUGUGAUCCUGGACUGGA